rnacentral:rRNA from 1 species
GUGCCAGCCGCGCGGUAAUACCGGUAGCGCGAGUGAUGGCCGAUAUUAUUGGGCCUAAAGCGUCCGUAGCUGGCCGGACAAGUCCGUUGGGAAAUCCACCCGCUUAACGGGUGGGCGUCCAGCGGAAACUGUUCGGCUUGGAGCCGGAAGACCCGAGGGGUACGUCCGGGGUAGGAGUGAAAUCCUGUAAUCCUGGACGGACCGCCGGUGGCGAAAGCGCCUCGGGAAGACGGACCCGACAGUGAGGGACGAAAGCUGGGAUCUCGAACCGGAUUAGAUACCCGGGUAGUCC